rnacentral:rRNA from 1 species
UACGUAGGCAGCAAGCGUUGUUCGGAGUUACUGGGCGUAAAGGGUGCGUAGGCGGCCCCUGUAAGUAUGGUGUGAAAUCUCCCGGCUUAACUGGGAGGGUGCGCUAUAGACUGCGGGGCUCGAGUGUGGGAGAGGAAAGUGGAAUUCCUGGUGUAGCGGUGAAAUGCGUAGAUAUCAGGAGGAACACCGGUGGUGUAAACGGCUUUCUGGACCAUAACUGACGCUGAGGCACGAAAGCGUGGGUAGCAAACAGG